UACGGAGGGGGCGAGCGUUAUUCGGAAUUAUUGGGCGUAAAGGGCGCGUAGGCGGCUGUACAAGUCAAAGGUGAAAUCCCUCGGCUCAACUGAGGAACUGCCUUUGAAACUGUACGCUUGAGGCCGGGAGGGGUAGCGGAAUUCCCAAUGUAGCGGUGAAAUGCGUAGAUAUUGGGAGGAACACCAGUGGCGAAGGCGGCUACCUGGACCGGUACUGACGCUGAGGUGCGAAAGCGUGGGGAGCAAACAGG
rnacentral:rRNA from 1 species